GUGGGGAAUUUUUCGCAAUGGGGGAAACCCUGACGAAGCAACGCCGCGUGGGGGAUGAAGGUCUUCGGAUCGUAAACCCCUGUCGACCGGGACGAAAGCAGUCUGACCCAAUACGUCGGGCUGUUGACUGUACCGGUGGAGGAAGCCACGGCUAACUCUGUGCCAGCAGCCGCGGUAAUACAGAGGUGGCAAGCGUUGUUCGGAAUUACUGGGCGUAAAGGGCGCGUAGGCGGCUGGGAAAGUUCUGUGUGAAAUCCCUCGGCUCAACUGAGGAACUGCACGGAAAACUGCCCGGCUUGAGUUCGGGAGAGGGAAGUGGAAUUCCGGGUGUAGCGGUGAAAUGCGUAGAUAUCCGGAGGAACACCGGUGGCGAAGGCGGCUUCCUGGACCGACACUGACGCUGAGGCGCGAAAGCUAGGGGAGCAAACGGGAUUAGAAACCCGAGUAGUCC
rnacentral:rRNA from 1 species